AUUAAUAAAGUAGAGCAGAAAGUCUCCUCCUGCGUCCACGUUAGCAAACCCUGUUCCUUUUCGUGACACGUGGCAGGCAAUGAGAAAACUUUUUAUUUUGAUUCUGAAUCUGUUCGUAGAGUGCAAACAGUUAACAUUGAGCAAUGGACUUAUAUUAUUUUUUGGACCCUUACAACUUUUAUCAUUGCGGCCCGAUUUCGUUUUAGGGCUUAGUAUACGCUCAAGCUCUUCCUCUUUGACGCCGUAAUCCUUUCGUUCGCCAUCGUCUCCGAUCAGAUUUGCUGUAACGCUCUCCCUUCUUAAACUCAUGCUUUAAUUCAAUCAUUAAACUUCACUCCACCUUCUCUCCCACUCAGCCUCAUUUAUUCAAGCUCACCAGCUGCGUAUGUAACAGAUACAGUUUUGAUCUAUAAAUAGGUCUUCUGGAAUCGAUGAAUACCUACUCUGCUCAGAUACCUGAAAGCCAAUACUUCUUACGCAUCAGCUUGAAAUAUUUCGUCUUCGUACGUUUUUCUCGCCAACCUGAAAGCAGGUCGUUCCUCAAACACGACAGAGAUCCUAUCUCCCCAGGUUCUGGAAAGCUCGGAAUGUCAGAAAAGGUGGAGAGCUCAUGAGUGUGGACAUGCUUCUUCUCGAUUAGUAGACAGCAAUGACAAGGAACAUUGAGAUAAGAAUGGCUGUAGCUACAACACAAAGGAAUCAUCAUUAACCGAGUCAUCAAAUCGAGAUUUACAUGGUUCUUCUCGCCGGUGAUUCACCGGAGCUCCAAUGAGAGGCCAUGGAUGGUUCAUGAUCGUCUUCAAGUGCUCAAGCUCUCUCAUUUCUGAUAUUAAAAGUUAGAUUGUAGUGUUGUGAGUUUGUUAAGGUGAAACAGAGAGAGAGAGAGAGAGAAGUGAGAUGAAGAAGGAGAAGAGAGUGAGCAAGUGGUGAUAAACAUGGAAGAAUGUGAAAGCUUUGGGAUUUUAAUAGAGAUAAAAAAAACUUUACAGGUCUUGAAAUGUGAUGUUUUUAUAAGUAGAUAGUGAACGUAUCAUGCGCACUAUAUUCUUAAGCAAAUGUUUAGUUGAUAUUUGUUUGGGUUUGGGCUUAGAGUGUGAUGAUAAAUUGAGCAUGAGAACGAGAAGGAGCAUGAAACGGAGAGUGUGACAGCAAGGGCUAUUUCUGAAGUGCAAAGUGUCACGGGAGAGGUCGAUAGUCACUAGAACAUGCUGAGUUUAUUAGAGCUGCAGUUUUUUUUGGUUUGUUUUUUUUUU